UUCAAGAUGAUCUGGGGUGAAAUGUCUGCUGCAGACCUUUGUGUGAAAACUUAAUGUCCUAUUAAAUUUCAAAGAAGCUGUAUACACAGUAGAGUUCAGGAUAUUUUUAGUCAUGUCUUUGAAAAUGUCAGGAUGUAAAAAUCUUCUUGCAGACACUAAUUUUAUGUUGUGUCUUGGGGAAUAAGAAUUAUUCUCAGCUCAGGGCACCACCAGAGAUUCUCUUAAUAAAGGAGGAGAUGCCAACUUGGACAUAUCUAUCACUGCAGAAAGCAAUGAUCAACAUGGAUAAUAUGCUGCAUAGUGUGUGUCAGAAAUGUAACACCCCUUACCAUAAUCAGGUUUCAAAUCCGCAGUCUUCAUGAGCAGCUGUAAACA